GACCUGCGGAGGAUCAUUAUCGUAGGGCUUCGGCCCUGUCGAGAUAGAACCCUUGCCUUUUUGAGUACCUUUCGUUUCCUCGGCAGCCUCGGCUGCCAAUGGGGACCCCAAAAAACACUUUGCAGUACCUGUAACAGUCUGAACAAACAAACAAAAAUUAAAACUUUCAACAACGGAUCUCUUGGUUCUGGCAUCGAUGAAGAACGCAGCGAAAUGCGAUAAGUAGUGUGAAUUGCAGAAUUCAGUGAAUCAUCGAAUCUUUGAACGCACAUUGCGCCCUUUGGUAUUCCUUAGGGCAUGCCUGUUCGAGCGUCAUUUAAACCUUCAAGCUCAGCUUGGUGUUGGGUGACUGUCCGCCGCCCCCGGGCGCGUGGACUCGCCUCAAAAUUAUUGGCGGCCGGUACAUUGGCUUCGAGCGCAGCAGAAACGCGAACUCGGGCCCGUCGUAUUGGCUCCCAGAAGCUAUCUUCACAAUUUUGACCUCGGAUCAGGUAGGGAUACCCGCUGAACUUAAGCAUAUCAAUAAGCGGAGGA
rnacentral:rRNA from 1 species